GAUGAACGCUGGCGGCGUGCCUAACACAUGCAAGUCGAGCGAUUUACUUCGGUAAAGAGCGGCGGACGGGUGAGUAACGCGUGGGUAACCUGCCCUGUACACACGGAUAACAUACUGAAAGGUAUGCUAAUACGGGAUAACAUAAGAGAGUCGCAUGGCUUUCUUAUCAAAGCUUUUGCGGUACAGGAUGGACCCGCGUCUGAUUAGCUAGUUGGUAAGGUAACGGCUUACCAAGGCGACGAUCAGUAGCCGACCUGAGAGGGUGAUCGGCCACAGUGGAACUGAGACACGGUCCAAACUCCUGCGGGAGGCAGCAGUGGGGAAUAUUGCACAAUGGGCGAAAGCCUGAUGCAGCAACGCCGCGUGAGCGAUGAAGGCCUUCGGGUCGUAAAGCUCUGUCCUCAAGGAAGAUAAUGACGGUACUUGAGGAGGAAGCCCCGGCUAACUACGUGCCAGCAGCCGCAGUAA
rnacentral:rRNA from 1 species